GUGUAUCAAAGUAGUCGAAGAUCUGGCAAAGUGUCUAUUUUGGAUUUAUGUGACAAUUUUAGCAAAUUUUAGAUAAACAGGAGGGAAUUGUUGGAAUAAUUGGAUAUAAGGUUAUCUCAUAUUUGCUUUCUUGGUUGAUUUGAAUGGUUCAUUGCUUAUGUGAUGCAAUGCAAUCGAGAGACCCGUUGGGUGCCAUGAAAACUUUGCUAUGAUGUGCUUAAACAAUAUGAUGCAAAAAAGUUACAUUGGGUGCUGUGGAAACACCAGUGAUGCAGAAGACAACAUAAAGACUGACGAUCUCGAGAGGGUGGUGAAGACAUCGCAAAGACUCACAUGGACUAUUUUUGUCACGGUUGCUUUGUUUGUCACAUUUGCGUUGUUGUGAUGCGGACCAUGCUAAGGAAUAAAAAAGUGGAGACGUGGAGAUGUGAUUAGAAUGGGUUGGAGACUGUGAAAGAGACAUACCACGUUCUCCUCGCAAACCAGAAGUUCUUCUUGUCUUCCUUCAUUGAAAAAUUGAAAAAACUUGUCCUACGCUGCUUCAACCUGACAAAGGCAACGUUGAUUGGCCAGGCUGGGAGGGUCACACUGCUGUUGAAUCGUGGGCGGUUGACUGAAUCAAAAUAUGCAGUAAAAUGUUUCACCUUCCUGGCGCACCAGACUGCAGAUUCAAUUCAUUGGGAUGAUACACUCUCAGCCAGAUAAGAGCGUGAACGCACAAACUUCUAGGUUACUGCAUCCAGAGUGCGCAAAUGACCAGAAGGAGUUCCCAAAGGUCUCAGAUGAAAACAACUCCCUGGCGACCAGGCUAGUCUCCAAGAAACCUCGAGGAGAUAUCUCUGCAAUCAGCAGGUACUUGUGUCGCCAUCAGGUCACCAACCAGAACUGUCAGAUAUUCAAUGCAUAGUCACCAGGUGAGUUGUCAUGGUGAAAGACCACCUCUCGUUGUGGCACUGCUUUCAUCUCUUUUCACGCACUGAAUGAAGCAUAAACCACUGGAGCUCUUUGGGGGUAAUUUUGAUUGAUAGUUUGACCCACAUUUAAGCGGAAAACACAUUGUUUAGGUUUUACGUCGCUCAACCUGGAACCUUUCUGACACACUUUGAAAGUGAUACAGUGCUUGUAAUUUUACCAGUACUUUUUUUUUUCCGGGUGUACACACAAGUAUCUGAACAUCAAUACUUAUGCCACCUCUGAGUGUACUCACCCGCCCA